GCCGGAAUAGCUCAGUUGGUAGAGCAGAGGACUGA
rnacentral:tRNA from 2 species